rnacentral:rRNA from 1 species
GAUGAACGCUGGCGGCGUGCCUAACACAUGCAAGUCGAACGUGAGCCCGAUUACGGUUGGGUGAAAGUGGCGAACGGGUGAGUAACACGUUGGUGACCUGCCCCGAGGUGGGGGAUAACUGUGGGAAACGACAGCUAAUACCCCGGAUGUUGAUAGGCUUAGAAGCUAUCAACUAAAGCUAAGGCGCCUGGGGAGGGCCUGCGGGCUAUCAGCUAGUUGGUGAGGUAAGAGCUCACCAAGGCUCAGACGGCUAGGGGGCGUGAGAGCGUGGCCCCCCACAAUGGAACUGAGACACGGUCCAUACUCCUACGGGAGGCAG